AGAGAAGCUUGCUUCUCUUGAGAGCGGCGGACGGGUGAGUAAUGCCUAGGAAUCUGCCUGGUAGUGGGGGAUAACGUUCGGAAACGGACGCUAAUACCGCAUACGUCCUACGGGAGAAAGCAGGGGACCUUCGGGCCUUGCGCUAUCAGAUGAGCCUAGGUCGGAUUAGCUAGUUGGUGGGGUAAUGGCUCACCAAGGCGACGAUCCGUAACUGGUCUGAGAGGAUGAUCAGUCACACUGGAACUGAGACACGGUCCAGACUCCUACGGGAGGCAGCAGUGGGGAAUAUUGGACAAUGGGCGAAAGCCUGAUCCAGCCAUGCCGCGUGUGUGAAGAAGGUCUUCGGAUUGUAAAGCACUUUAAGUUGGGAGGAAGGGCCGUUACCUAAUACGUGAUGGUUUUGACGUUACCGACAGAAUAAGCACCGGCUAACUCUGUGCCAGCAGCCGCGGUAAUACAGAGGGUGCAAGCGUUAAUCGGAAUUACUGGGCGUAAAGCGCGCGUAGGUGGUUUGUUAAGUUGGAUGUGAAAUCCCCGGGCUCAACCUGGGAACUGCAUUCAAAACUGACUGACUAGAGUAUGGUAGAGGGUGGUGGAAUUUCCUGUGUAGCGGUGAAAUGCGUAGAUAUAGGAAGGAACACCAGUGGCGAAGGCGACCACCUGGACUGAUACUGACACUGAGGUGCGAA
rnacentral:rRNA from 1 species